rnacentral:misc_RNA from 1 species
GAAAUGCGAUAAGUAAUGUGAAUUGCAGAAUUCAGUGAAUCAUCGAAUCUUUGAACGCACCUUGCGCUCCUUGGUAUUCCUUGGAGCAUGCCUGUUUGAGUAUCAUGAAAUCUACAAAGUAAAUCUUUUGUUAACUCAAUUGGUUUCUACUUUGGUAUUGGAGGUCUUUGCAGCUUCACACCUGCUCCUCUUUGUUCAUUAGCUGGAUCUCAGUGUUAUGCUUGGUUCCACUCGGCGUGAUAAGUUAUCUAUCGCCGAGGACACUGUAAAAGGUGGCCAAGGUAAAUGCAGAUGAACCGCUUCUAAUAGUCCAUUGACUUGGACAAUACUUUUAUGAUCUGAUCUCAAAUCAGGUAGGACUACCCGCUGAACUUAAGC